CCUACGGGAGGCAGCAGUGAGGAAUAUUGGUCAAUGGGCGAGAGCCUGAACCAGCCAAGUCGCGUGAAGGAUGAAGGAUCUGUGGUUUGUAAACUUCUUUUAUAUGGGAAUAAAGUGAGGAACGUGUUCCUUUUUGUAUGUACCAUAUGAAUAAGCAUCGGCUAACUCCGUGCCAGCAGCCGCGGUAAUACGGAGGAUGCGAGCGUUAUCCGGAUUUAUUGGGUUUAAAGGGUGCGUAGGUGGUUAAUUAAGUCAGCGGUGAAAGUUUGUGGCUCAACCCUAAAAUUGGCGUUGAAACUGGCUGUCUUGAGUAGAGUUGAGGUAGGCGGAAUGCGUGGUGUAGCGGUGAAAUGCAUAGAUAUCACGCAGAACUCCGAUUGCGAAGGCAGCUUACUAAACUAUAACUGACACUGAAGCACGAAAGCGUGGGGAUCAAACAGGAUUAGAUACCCCUGUAGUC
rnacentral:rRNA from 1 species